UGUCGACGAUAUCAGGCAACACAGUUGUGCCAGUGGAGAAUUUCCCGUUCUCCCCGGACGUUUCAAGGCCACGCAGACGGUCGCUGAGCAGAGCCGUACCGCCGGCCCAAGACCUAGUCACCAGUCUUUGGGUGCCCGAUCAAGGUACCAUCCGUCAACGGCCGCCAACUGGAGGCACUGAUCCGGAUAAACCACCGUUCACUAUAGACGGAAAAUCCCUCCACCCAGUAGUGGAGAGGUGCAACUUAGAUCUAGCGAUGCAGUUAUACACUGCCUCGCCAUCGUAUAACACCUACCAAGCCACACCCGUUCUGGUAGUAGGCAAAGGUAAUUAAAGAUUUUGCCCCCA